AGAGUUUGAUCCUGGCUCAGGAUGAACGCUGGCGGCGUGCUUAACACAUGCAAGUCGAACGAAGCACUUUAUUUGAUUUCCUUCGGGACUGAUUAUUUUGUGACUGAGUGGCGGACGGGUGAGUAACGCGUGGGUAACCUGCCUUGUACAGGGGGAUAACAGUUGGAAACGGCUGCUAAUACCGCAUAAGCGCACGGCAUCGCAUGAUGCAGUGUGAAAAACUCCGGUGGUAUAAGAUGGACCCGCGUUGGAUUAGCUAGUUGGUGAGGUAACGGCCCACCAAGGCAACGAUCCAUAGCCGACCUGAGAGGGUGACCGGCCACAUUGGGACUGAGACACGGCCCAAACUCCUACGGGAGGCAGCAGUGGGGAAUAUUGCACAAUGGGCGAAAGCCUGAUGCAGCGACGCCGCGUGAGCGAAGAAGUAUUUCGGUAUGUAAAGCUCUAUCAGCAGGGAAGAUAAUGACGGUACCUGACUAAGAAGCACCGGCUAAAUACGUGCCAGCAGCCGCGGUAAUACGUAUGGUGCAAGCGUUAUCCGGAUUUACUGGGUGUAAAGGGAGCGCAGGCGGUGCGGCAAGUCUGAUGUGAAAGCCCGGGGCUCAACCCCGGUACUGCAUUGGAAACUGUCGUACUAGAGUGUCGGAGGGGUAAGCGGAAUUCCUAGUGUAGCGGUGAAAUGCGUAGAUAUUAGGAGGAACACCAGUGGCGAAGGCGGCUUACUGGACGAUAACUGACGCUGAGGCUCGAAAGCGUGGGGAGCAAACAGAAUUAGAUACCCUGGUAGUCCACGCCGUAAACG
rnacentral:rRNA from 1 species